UGGGGAAUCUUGCACAAUGCGCGAAAGCGUGAUGCAGCAACGCCGCGUGGGGGAAGACGGCCUUCGGGUUGUAAACCCCUUUCAGUUGGGACGAAGCUUCGUCGGUGAAUAGCCGACUGGAGUGACGGUACCUUCAGAAGAAGCCCCGGCUAACUACGUGCCAGCAGCCGCGGUAAUACGUAGGGGGCAAGCGUUGUCCGGAAUCAUUGGGCGUAAAGCGCGUGUAGGCGGCUCGAUAAGUCUGCUGUGAAAGUCCAAGGCUCAACCUUGGGAUGCCGGUGGAUACUGUCGAGCUCGAGUCCGGAAGAGGCGAGUGGAAUUCCUGGUGUAGCGGUGAAAUGCGCAGAUAUCAGGAGGAACACCAAUGGCGAAGGCAGCUCGCUGGGACGUGACUGACGCUGAGACGCGAAAGCGUGGGGAGCAAACAGG
rnacentral:rRNA from 2 species